GGGAAAGUGGUCUAGCUUGGUAUGAUACUCGGCUGGGGGCCGAGUGGUCGUGCGUUCGAAUCGUGCCUUUCCCACCA
rnacentral:tRNA from 1 species